rnacentral:rRNA from 1 species
UCCUUCGGGAGGCAGCAGUGGGGAAUAUUGGACAAUGGGGGGAACCCUGAUCCAACCAUGCCGCGUGUGUGAAGAAGGCUUUAUGGUUGUAAAGCACUUUAAGCGAGGAGGAGGCUACUGAGACUAAUACUCUGGAUAGUGACGUACUCGCAGAAUAGCCCGAUUCACCCC